rnacentral:rRNA from 1 species
UCAGUCGACUCCUACGGGGGAGGCAGCAGUGGGGAAUAUUGCACAAUGGGGGAAACCCUGAUGCAGCCAUGCCGCGUGUGUGAAGAAGGCCUUCGGGUUGUAAAGCACUUUCAGUAGGGAGGAAGGUAGUGUAGUUAACACCUGCACUAUUUGACGUUACCUACAGAAGAAGCACCGGCUAACUCCGUGCCAGCAGCCGCGGUAAUACGGAGGGUGCGAGCGUUAAUCGGAAUUACUGGGCGUAAAGCGCAUGCAGGCGGCCUGUUAAGUCAGAUGUGAAAGCCCGGGGCUUAACCUCGGAAUUGCAUUUGAAACUGGCAGGCUAGAGUCUUGUAGAGGGGGGUAGGAAUUUCAGGUGUAGCGGUGAAAUGCGUAGAGAUCUGAAGGAAUACCAGUGGCGAAGGCGGCCCCCUGGACAAAGACUGACGCUCAGAUGCGAAAGCGUGGGGAGCAAACAGGAUUAGAUACCCUGGUAG